UACGGGGGGAGCAAGCGUUGUUCGGAUUUACUGGGCGUAAAGGGCGCGUAGGCGGUCAGCGCAAGUCAGUUGUGAAAUCUCCGGGCUUAACUCGGAAAGGUCAACUGAUACUGUGCGACUAGAGUGCGGAAGGGGCAACUGGAAUUCUCGGUGUAGCGGUGAAAUGCGUAGAUAUCGAGAGGAACACCUGAGAUGUAGAUGGCUUACUGGACCGUAACUGACGCUGAGGCACGAAAGCGUGGGUAGCAAACAGG
rnacentral:rRNA from 1 species